UAUCAUUAAGUGCAUGGUGUCUCGGGA
rnacentral:sRNA from 1 species